rnacentral:lncRNA from 1 species
AACUCCGAGUAGCUGUAAACUUGCAUUAAAAAAGGAGUAAACACAAGUGACACAAUAAAAUGUACUUAAUACAUGAACUUGUGAACAUUGUGUACAUGAGAAGUUAAUAGAAAUAGUGGUCAAUUACAUCAUAUAAUUUGGUUCUAUACUCUUUUGUGUAUAUAUCCUGAAUGCUACCCCUUUGUGAUCAACUCUUUGUCCUUCGAAUCGAAUGGCACAGCUACUGCCCCUUGUGGAAAAAGAAAGGACUCUGUAAUACCCAUAAAUGUAAAAGGAAAACAUCAUGUGAUGCAUCUCAACCUGCGCAAAACAAUGUAAAAACCAUACAUGCUAUCUACAUACCCUCAUUGUCUAGCAAAGCAUAAGUAGCUGAGGGACCCUAUACAAAAGAAUUGACAAUUAGCAAGAAAGAAGCAUGCCAUCAUCUGUCUAAACAACCAUAAAACAAUAAGUGGCAAAAGCCCCAUCAGAAUUAGCAUUUGCCAUCCAGUUUAUGAGCUAAAGUUGUGCAUUCACCAAUCGAUAAAACAUAUUAAGAUGCGGUAAUGAAAAUAAAAUUGUAUCGCUUCACAUACAGUAAGUGAAAAAGAAAUGAGUAAGGGGACCAAAUUUAGUUGCCUGAUCAGAUGUAGCAGAGAUAGAACCUAGUUUUUUUUUACCUUGCCUACUUCUGGCCAAUACCCCCACAGAUGCCCCUCUUCCCGUGCAGGAAAUGCCCCUGACCCUCCUCCGAGCAUUAAGGCCUAGAAUGACAACAACAUCCCACAGAAGGACCCGCAAAAGGCAACGAAAGUGAGCCAAGUAGCUUGGCCAGAUACCCGCACUAACCCAACCAAAUAAAUGUAGCCAACGGAUCAAGGCAGAACGCAUGACAGUGAGUAUCACUACACCAUGACCAAAGUUUAGGGGCAAUUAACUGCCGGGAAUGAUCCAGUAUUGGAGGCAAUUAACUGCCGGGAAUGCUCUAUUUGCCGGGCAAGACUAUGUCAGUCAAGUUAACUGCCGGGAACGGUAGUUAUAGACAGGCAGAAUAACUGCCGGCCUCUUCGAGGUCAGCCCAAUUGCCACGAACUCUAGUUGAGGGCAAAUGGACUGCUGGUAACCAAGUUGGCGGGGACGGCCCAAGAAAACGCGCGCAGUCGCGGGAGAGCGAAAAAUUAGAAGGCACUGGAAGCCCACGCGGCCUUAUCUUUUCCCUUAUCCACAUAUCUCCUCCGCCACUCUCCCUCCCUCCUCGUAAGCCGCCGCACUGCAUCUCGCCUUCGAUGCCGGCAACCCUAGCGCCGCCGCCGACUCGCCCGCGUCAAGCGUCCUUGCCGCCCGCCCAGCCUAUCGCCGCCGGCGGCUCACCCGCAUCCUUGCCACCCCGCUUCCAUCCGCUUCAUCACCCUGCCGUCGCCCUCCCCAUGCACGCCUCUACCCAGCGCCGCCGCCCCCAAAUCUUGUACUCGUAGAGCCGGACGCCACCAAAUCUCGUACUCGCGCUGCCCCACCCACACCUCCGAGACACGCCGCCGCCAAUCCCCAUCCACACUGCACCGGCAUCCCUCACCCUGAGCCGCCGCCUCCCAUCCCCAUCUCCUUCCACGCCGCACCAGCAUCCCCAGUCCAGCGCCGCCACCCCAUUCCCCAAUCCCUAUCCCCGCCCCUGCUUCGCCUCACAGUGCAGCCCGGUGUGACAGCUCCUCUGUUCGUUCGUGCUACCAUCUGGUGCAACUGCCACUGCUGUUCGUCUGUUGCUGCUGCUCCUCUGUUCUGCCCUCUGCCACGGCUUCAACUUGUGUUCGUCAACUGAAGCAGCAGCAGCAGCAACAGCUAGCCUCAGUCGCACAUAGAGGCUGCAACUGAGCUCUUUUCUCUGUUUGUGGUCGGUCUUUACAGGUAUGCAUUUAAAGCCAUGUUUUGUAAGAUCAUUCUCUAUUGCGCUCUAUCAAAUUAUCUAGCAAAUUGUCACAUUAGCCUUCAGAUCUAGCAGCCUGGCAUUGAUAUGCUCCAAAUAACAGGUUUCUGACUAACUAGUAAGAGAAGAUCUAAACCUUCUGAUCUGUUUAUGCAACAACAAUAUGCAAAGAGAAUUUGCAGCAGAUCAUGCUUGCACAUAUAGAAAAGAAUAAGCAAAUGUUGGCAACAGAAAUAUACAACUCACAAAACCUCUAUUGUGAUCUCAUAAAUACUUAGUUAUGUAAAUUUGACAACAAGGAGUAUAGUGCAGAUGAAGUAAUAUACGACCUACAUAUGCCAGUAUGCAUGUCAGGAUUAAAGGAAUAAAACUGAAAAUUAAACUUGUUACCAACAUGUAUGCCAUAUUCUGGUUAACCAAGUACUAGGCCUUCCUGAAGGUAGUGUUAAGUAGGAUGAGCUGCAUGAUGAACACACAGAUAGAAUAGGCUAACAAAAAAUAGAUAUUGGAUAGAUAAUUGCAGGAUAAUUGUUGAUUAUUCUUCACCCAUGCUAAUUAUGUUUGGAUGGUUUGCAGGUUAACCAGCCUAAACUGAUCUUGAAAGACAAGUUUUGAGAUCAAAGUUGGCAAGGGAAGAAGUAUCAAGCUGCAACCAUCAAUAACCGAAGAAGUGCCCUUGCAGCCUUUUGUGAGUCUUAUCAUAACUGAGAAUUUGAUUUUUAUAUAUCACUGUGUGGUUUCUUUUGACUAUAUUUUGAAUAUCUCGUGAUUUGUUUCUAUCGUUACAUGGUAAUUGUUUGACUAUAUUUCGAAUACUUGGAAGGUUGCUUUGGUUUGUAAUUAUGAUUUCAAUGCCUUGGUUCUGUAAAAAAAAUACUGAUUUGUGUUGGCUUGCGAUAUUUAGGCAAGGGUCGAAAUUUAGUACAAGCAAACCGUAAUGGACAAGAGUUUCAAAAUGAUGAGGUUGAAGAUGAGGACAUAUUUGAGGUACUUGAUGAGAUACCAGAAAUGCUCCAAGAUAUAGGGCAUGAAUUCGGUUAAGUUGGGGACGAUGGUGGGAAUGAUGGUGACCUAAGGGAAGAUGGAAGUGAUCUAAAUAUAGAGGCUUUUCACCAAUUAUUAGAUGAUGCAGAUGCCAAACUUUAUCCCGGGUGCACAAGCUUCUCAAAGCUACACUUUGUAGUUAGAUUAAUCCACACCAAAUUUCUUGGGGUUGGAGUGAUAAGAGUUUUAACAUAUUGCUAGAGCUGCUUAAUAAGGCCUUUCCAGGGGACUCGCCGACCAUGGUUCUCAAUGUUCUGAAGUUGUAGCUAACAUGGUGAUGAAAAAUGAUGCUAUUUUGCAAUGCCCUUAUGGGAAUGUGAGGACCAUGGCCAAUGCUCUCGGGCGAUCUAUUGCAUGACCUUGUAGAUAUUUUAAACUUCUUUCUAAUCAUGUCUAUUUCAGCAAUUGUAGGUUUCUCAAAUUGCUUCCUGUUGAUAAUCCUAUGUUUGCAGAUUGGGGUGUUCGUAAAGUUAUGCAGAAGCAACCAUGGCAGCCCAUAGCAGUUCCCACAGCUAGAAGGUAUUGUAUCUUCUUCGAAUUUUGGAAUAUUAUACUAAAGAAAAGAUAUGUUUCUCCUUUCACAUACUGAUGACUUAUUAUUUUUCUGAAUGAAGCAUGUGCUUGAAAGUAGCAACCUACAAGUUUCUUAUUUCCUCCUUAGCAACUAGUACUUUUUUUGGUUUUCCCAGUAGAUAAAAAAUGUGCCUACUUUCAAACAUAUGCUUAAGUCCUUCUAUUCUGAAUCACAACCAGCAACUCUGUUUCUUGUUUCUUAAAUAAUUCUGCAGCUACUAUUUAAACUUUCCACAGACAUUUAUGUGCCUGCAAACUCUUUUCCUGAAACCAAGUGCAAACUUAAUCAGUGGGUUGUUCACUUGGUAUACAUUCUCAUAACUAUUGAUGACUAUCCCAAAUUAUUAGGGCCCCAAUUUUGCACGUAAUAGUAAUCCUGACUCCUGACUAGUAUUACUAGUGACUAUCCUAAUGGCUACUCAAUAAACUUGACCAGUUACUAGCUUGGGGAUCACCCUCAAGGCCUCAACCAACCAUCUGGUUAUUUACCCUAAAACCCAUCUGUUUAUUUAGUCGCCGUUUUUUCUGUAAUAUAGUUUCCUUUUCUGCAAUUUCUUCUAGCACUAGAAUGUAUUACUUUUGAGUUACAGUGAAAAUCACUUUUUGAUAGAAUGUAGUUAUUCAAACAAUCGCACUGCCAACGUGAUAUAUAUUAUAAAGUUUGCUUUCUAAUUUUGAAUGACAUCGAGGGCCUAAGUUCUGAUUUUGCACAUGGCCCCUGUUUUUGAAUGUUUUGUUUACUUCACAGCAAUCAAGAGAAAUUAUACUACACCAAAAGAUGACAAUUGGUAUAUAUUUAUAGUGAUAGGUUACAUUGAUUUUCCUGAUGAUUCAUACAUAGUGCACAAUCUGUUCAUAUGAGUACAUCCACACAUUCUUUCUAUGCCUUGUGCAAUGCAAAGUACAGGGUAACACACAUGUGUCUUUUCGUUUGGAUGAGUUGAUUUUCUUUUUUAACCCAUGCAACUUCUAUGUUUGGAAGAUGUGUUCUUCCGAGCUGAUCUAUUUGGCCAUUACCUUUUUCUUUACAGGUCACCAGCAUAAUGCCUUUGCAUUCACAAGUUUCAAGAGGUGUGUUUGGUGAGGCUAAAAGGAUCUUCUGCUGGGAUAUGUUUCUACCUAAAACCUAUUUUGCACUUUUGUCUAUGAUGUAAUACUUUGACUUAUGAACCUACAACUGUAUGCAUUUAGACCUGAUGGAUGGUUGUGCUUUUGGCUGUCCUGGACUUGUGAACCUAUAUAUGUAUGGAUUAUGUAUGGAUGGAGACUUGUGAAUCUAUGGAUGAUGGAUUGCUCAUAAGUAUAUGCAUGCAUGUGUGUUUUAUAUAUACAUGGCACAAAAUGGACUUUAGAUAAUAGCUGUUGAAAUACAUGUAUGGGAGACUUGUGUGGCUGCAGCGAACUCAAAUCCAGGCAGAAGAGCUGCCGGGAAAUCUUCUAACUGCCCUGAAUUGUCAGCCUGCCGGGGAAGAGCAGUAUGCCGGUAAUAAUUCUAAUUGCCGGCAAUGGUAUGAAUAUGAAGGGCAGAACAUCUGCCGGGGUUCACACUAACUGCCGGGAAUUACUUUCCCCGACGGGACUUUCAAGGGCGGUUUGUAAUUGCCGGCAAAAAACUUUCCCGGCAGUUUGACUGCCUCCAAUGGCUACUUUUCCCGGCAGAUGUUCUGACCCCUAUUCUUUGGUCAUGGUGUAGUGUAUAUUUUAUUGAUAAGCCAGAUUGAACACAGUUGAGAAACAAUCUUAAAAGAUCACAUCGAGAAAAUAAACGGAGGUGGUUCAAUAUUGCCUUCUAUCUAAACUCUCUAAACAGAGGAACACCCUAGCUUUAUGUGAAAACUUAAAAGAAGGCACAUAAUUUAAGGUUUUGACACUACAUAAACUAUAGUAAUCAUCUGCUGCUUAGGACACACAUCAAUAUAUGAUGCAUAUCUAUUUCACGAAAGCCUAAAGGUACAUCCACGAUUAAGAAUAUCUGAAACUUUGAUGUGCAUACCAAGAAUAAACGAUGGCCGAUACUCCUAUAAUGAAAAAUAUUGUACAAAUAAUUAAAAGAUUCAGACUUGCAGGUAAUAUUAAGAAACAACAUAUCCUAGCCAAGGUGUGCUGGCGAUAAACAGGUGAAUCCAAGGAGUAGGAACUCACCCAUUAUAAACCAAAAACAAACAAUGUUGUUAUUAUUGCCUUUACUCUAUAUUACUGGG